rnacentral:rRNA from 1 species
GACGAACGCUGGCGGCGUGCUUAACACAUGCAAGUCGAACGGAAAGGCCCUGCUUUUGUGGGGUGCUCGAGUGGCGAACGGGUGAGUAACACGUGAGUAACCUGCCCUUGACUUGGGAUAACUUACGGAAACUGGGGGUAAUUCCGGAUAGGUAACCCUGCUGCACGGUGGGGGGUGGAAAGUUUCGGCGGUUGGGGCUGGACUCGCGGCUUGUCAGCUUGUUGGUGGGGUAGUGGCUUACCAAGGCUUUGACGGGGAACCGGCCUGAGGGGGUGACAGGCGACAUUGAGACUGAGAUACGGCCGAGGCUCCUACGGGAGGCAGCAGUGGGGAAUAUUGCACAAUGGGCGGAGGCCGUAUGCAGAAACGCCGCGUGUGGGAUGACGGCCUUCGGGUUGUGAACCGCUUUCGCCUGUGACGAAGCGUGAGUGACGGUAAUGGGUAAAGAAGCACCGGCUAACUACGUG